UAAUUUAAAGUCUGACCUGCCCUAUGAAUAUUUUAAAUGGGCUCGGUAUUUUGACCGUGCAAAGGUAGCAUAAUCAUUAGUUUCUUAAUUAGGAACUGGUAUGAAUGGUUGGACAAGAAAAAUACUGUCUCAAUUUUAUUUUUAUUAGAAUUUUAUUUUUAAGUUAAAAAGCUUAAAUGACUUUAAAAGACGAGAAGACCCUAUAGAGUUUUAUAUCAAAUUUUUUAUUUAAAAGUUUAAGUAUUUAUAUGUUUAAUUAAAAUGAUGGUAUUUAGUUGGGGUGACUAAAAAAUUUAUAAAACUUUUUUUAAAUUGUUACAUUAAUUUAUGAUUAAAUGAUCCAUAUUUUAUGAUUAUAAGAUUAAAUUACCUUAGGGAUAACAGCGUAAUUUUUUUUUAGAGUUCUUAUCGAAAAAAAAGUUUGCGACCUCGAUGUUGGAUUAAAAUUAAUUUUUGGUGUAGAAGCUAAAAGUAUUGGG
rnacentral:rRNA from 1 species